AGUGAGCGCUGGCGGUAGGCCUAACACAUGCCAGUCGAACGGCAGCACAGUAAGAGCUUGCUCUUACGGGUGGCGAGUGGCGGACGGGUGAGGAAUACAUCGGAAUCUACUUUUUCGUGGGGGAUAACGUAGGGAAACUUACGCUAAUACCGCAUACGACCUACGGGUGAAAGCAGGGGAUCUUCGGACCUUGCGCGAUUGAAUGAGCCGAUGUCGGAUUAGCUAGUUGGCGGGGUAAAGGCCCACCAAGGCGACGAUCCGUAGCUGGUCUGAGAGGAUGAUCAGCCCCACUGGACCUGAGACACCGUCCAGACUCCUACGGGAGGCAGCAGUGGGGAAUAUUGGACAAUGGGCGCAAGCCUGAUCCAGCCAUACCGCGUGGGUGAAGAAGGCCUUCGGGUUGUAAAGCCCUUUUGUUGGGAAAGAAAAGCAGCAGGUUAAUACCCCGCUGUUCUGACGGUACCCAAAGAAUAAGCACCGGCUAACUUCGUG
rnacentral:rRNA from 1 species